CAGAAGGAGAAUCAGCGCGCAGCUGGAGGAUGUUUUAUUCUUCCAGACCGAGUGGAUUUGGGAGAUGAAGAUUUAUGGAGUAUUUCUUCAGUUUUAAUUCACUGGAUGAUUUAUUUUUGUUGUUGCUGCUGAUUCUGCGACAUGAACUCCAGUUUAUCAGAGCAGGAGCUCACAGCUCUCUCUUCCGUGUACGUCUCCUGUCUCAGUUUAAGUUUACUUGGGAGCUGCUCUGUUUUCAUCACAUCAAUUAUAAAGAGAAAAAAACUCAAUGAACA